UACGUAGGCGGCAAGCGUUGUCCGGAUUUACUGGGCGUAAAGAGCGCGCAGGCGGUCAGAUAAGUCGAAUGUGAAAGCCCCCGGCUCAACUGGGGAGGGUCAUUCGAUACUGUUCGACUCGAAGGCAGGAGAGGGAAGUGGAAUUCCCGGUGUAGCGGUGAAAUGCGCAGAUAUCGGGAGGAACACCAGUAGCGAAGGCGGCUCGCUGGGCCACACCUGACGCUGAGACGCGAAAGCUAGGGGAGCGAACAGG
rnacentral:rRNA from 1 species